AGUACAAUUGCUGGGUUAUAUGGUAAACACAAAAGUUUAGUUUUAUGGGAAACUGCCAUACUCUUUUCCAGAAUGGGUGUACCAUUUUACAAUUGAAUAAGCAGU
rnacentral:pre_miRNA from 1 species